ACGGGAGCAAUCCUGGUGGCGAGUGGCGAACGGGUGAGUAAUAUAUCGGAACGUGCCCAGUCGUGGGGGAUAACGUAGAGAAAUUUACGCUAAUACCGCAUACGAUCUAAGGAUGAAAGCGGGGGAUCGCAAGACCUCGCGCGAUUGGAGCGGCUGAUAUCAGAUUAGGUUGUUGGUGAGGUAAAAGCUCACCAAGCCGACGAUCUGUAGCUGGUUUGAGAGAACGACCAGCCACACUGGGACUGAGACACGGCCCAGACUCC
rnacentral:rRNA from 1 species